CCGCGCAGGUUUGGGUGUGGCCCGCCCUUGGUGCUACUUAGCCAGGCGGACAGGAGGGGCGCCCCCGCCCGCCGCUGGGUUUUCCGGGUCGUUUGGGCUCCCACGUUGCUUGCCCUGAAUUCUCCCGGCAGGGGCCCGAGCAGUGUACCUCCAGCCUUUGCCCCUGAGUGGCUUUGAGAUUUGAGGACCAGGAAAUUUUCUCUGGAACCAACUGAUCAUCCUGCUUUCUGCACUGACCUCUGCUUCUCACUAUAUACCAAAAUGAAAUCCGCUGCCAUGGAAAUCCUCCUUUGUCUAUUGGCUGGUAAGUGUUCUUGCCAUUCUUCUCCACCUUGUGG